GAUAUUCCCUACACUCAUGUUGCUCAAUUCACCAAUAAUUGCUUCGUCGCCUCACCGUAGUCCCACCGCCAAACUAUUAAACGUAUACUUCGCCGCCCCGCACCACUUCGCUACACCACCACUGCACUUUCCAGGUAAUUCGUUCAAAUUUUUCUUGAUUUGGACGAGUUUGUUAAUCUAAUUGUAUUAAUCAAUCGAAUUUUUCAAUUCAGCUUUAGUGAAUUCAUAUUUUUCAUCCAUUACAGUAAUUUCGAUCGAAUUUUUGGUGGAUUUAAAAAAUUCUCAAUUUUAGUUUUUGGGAAAUAAUUCAAUCAAUUCUUAUGAACGCAAAUAAUUCAAUAAAAUUGCAGUUUUUUCAAUCAAAUUACACUUAAUUUAUUCGAAUUACAAGAAAUUUCAGUAAUAAUCAAAAUUAUUUUCGCCAAAUUAUUCUUACCUAGGUCAAGUAUAGAACCCUAAUUAGAUAAAGAAAGAGGGGUAGGGGAAAUUGAUUAGCACUAGAUUAUUAUGUUCUAUUAAUUUCAAAUACAUUAAUUUGCAAAUUAUUUUAGAUAAAGUGAUUUUCUUUGCUUUUCUUUCAUAAAAGGGUUGGUUAUGAGAUGUUGUGAUUGAAAUCCAGUGAUGAUUUAAUCUAAUUCUAGUGAUGUAUAAGAGUAGUCAUGGCGUUUGUGGUAUAAGAGUACCUGACAAGUACUCCCACAAUACGACACAAAGUGACAAGUAGAGCGCUUCUUGAGUUUGACAGAAGAUAAACAGAGUUCACAUAUCGAGGAACUGGACAAGUCUUUUGGGACAGAAACAUAAGGUUGUUGACUUAUGACAAUCUCACCUGCAGGAGGCGCAUGGUGAAGAGAAUUAGUUAAUAGGCACUUUUGCUAAGUCAUCUAAAGAAAUACAAUGUGACAUUGCAGAAUAACAGAUUCAGGUGAUGUACAAGGAUUUCCAAAGGAUGUUCAUGAGGCUGAGUCUCAGGUGCUGAUCAUUUGAUGCCAAUGGAGUUGGCCUUUAAGAUUGUUAGAAAAUUCCGAACCAAAGAGAGAUUUGCUGUCUAAGUUGUCAUCCCUAUGUGAAUUAUAGAUCAAUAUGGUAUUUGUAUAUCUAAGCAUUAUUUUUUAAAAUCAACAUUAACUACAAAGGUAUUUUGAUAUUAAACUCAUGUAUUUAUUUGUAUAGAACAAAUUUUGUAUGGAUGAUUCAAUUUAAUUCUGGUUGGAUGUUUUAAAUUAUAUAUAUGAAGUACA